rnacentral:sRNA from 1 species
AGGUGUUGUGGUAUACACCUGUAAUCCUGGCAACUUGGUAAAUUGAGGCAGGAGGAUCCCCUGAGCCCAGGAGUUUGAGGUCAGCCUGGGCAACAUAGCAAGACCCUGUCUUUA